UAUCCUGUAGAUUAAUGGGUAAAUCAUAAAUUUUUGGUAUUUAAUAGUGGGUGUUCGAAUCACCCCAGGAUAA
rnacentral:tRNA from 1 species